rnacentral:rRNA from 1 species
AAAUUGAAGAGUUUGAUCAUGGCUCAGAUUGAACGCUGGCGGCAGGCCUAACACAUGCAAGUCGAACGGUAACAGGAAACAGCUUGCUGUUUCGCUGACGAGUGGCGGACGGGUGAGUAAUGUCUGGGAAACUGCCUGAUGGAGGGGGAUAACUACUGGAAACGGUAGCUAAUACCGCAUAAUGUCGCAAGACCAAAGAGGGGGACCUUCGGGCC